rnacentral:rRNA from 1 species
CUCAGUUCGGAUUGUAGGCUGAAACUCGCCUACAUGAAGCUGGAGUUACUAGUAAUCGCAGAUCAGAAUGCUGCGGUGAAUGCGUUCCCGGGUCUUGUACACACCGCCCGUCACACCACGGAAGGUUGGGGGCGCCCGAAGCCACUUAGCUAACCCUUUUGGGAAGCGAGUGUCGAAGGUGAAAUCAAUAACUGGGGUGAAGUCGUAACAAGGUAUC